rnacentral:rRNA from 1 species
AAGAACUUAGUGGCGGACGGGUGAGUAACGCGUGGGUAACCUGCCUCAUACAGGGGGAUAACAGUUAGAAAUGACUGCUAAGACCGCAUAAUAUAGACGAAACCGCAUGAUUUUGCUAUCAAAUAUUUAUAGGUAUGAGAUGGGCCCGCGUCUGAUUAGCUAGUUGGUGGGGUAAAAGCCUACCAAGGCGACGAUCAGUAGCCGGCUUGAGAGAGUGACCGGCCACAUUGGGACUGAGACACGGCCCAAACUCCUACGGGAGGCAGCAGUGGGGAAUAUUGGACAAUGGGGGAAACCCUGAUCCAGCCGACGCCGCGUGAGUGAAGAAGUAUUUCGGUAUGUAAAGCUCUAUCAGCAGGGAAGAUAAUGACAGUACCUGACUAAGAAGCCCCGGCUAACUACGUGCCAGCCGCCGC